GACGAACGCUGGCGGCGUGCCUAAUACAUGCAAGUAGAACGCACAGUUUAUACCGUAGCUUGCUACACCAUAGACUGUGAGUUGCGAACGGGUGAGUAACGCGUAGGUAACCUGCCUGGUAGCGGGGGAUAACUAUUGGAAACGAUAGCUAAUACCGCAUAAUAUUGAUUAUUGCAUGAUAAUUGAUUGAAAGAUGCUAUUGCAUCACUGCCAGAUGGACCUGCGUUGUAUUAGCUAGUAGGUGAGGUAACGGCUCACCUAGGCGACGAUACAUAGCCGACCUGGGAGGGUGAUCGGCCACACUGGGACUGAGACACGGCCCAGACUCCUACGGGAGGCAGCAGUAGGGAAUCUUCGGCAAUGGACGAAAGUCUGACCGAGCAACGCCGCGUGAGUGAAGAAGGUUUUCGGAUCGUAAAGCUCUGUUGUAAGAGAAGAACGGGUGUGAGAGUGGAAAGUUCACACUGUGACGGUAUCUGACCAGAAAGGGACGGCUAACUACGUG
rnacentral:rRNA from 1 species